rnacentral:miRNA from 1 species
CUUUCUGCCUGUGACUCUGUGUGUGUGACUGUCUGCCUGUGACUGUGUCACACAGUCACAGGCAGACAGUCACACACAUACACACACA